rnacentral:rRNA from 1 species
CCUACGGGAGGCAGCAGUGGGGAAUCUUGCGCAAUGGGCGAAAGCCUGACGCAGCCAUGCCGCGUGAAUGAUGAAGGUCUUAGGAUUGUAAAAUUCUUUCACCGAGGACGAUAAUGACGGUACUCGGAGAAGAAGCCCCGGCUAACUUCGUGCCAGCAGCCGCGGUAAUACGAAGGGGGCUAGCGUUGCUCGGAAUUACUGGGCGUAAAGGGAGCGUAGGCGGAUAGUUUAGUCAGAGGUGAAAGCCCAGGGCUCAACCUUGGAAUUGCCUUUGAUACUGGCUAUCUUGAGUACGGAAGAGGUAUGUGGAACUCCGAGUGUAGAGGUGAAAUUCGUAGAUAUUCGGAAGAACACCAGUGGCGAAGGCGACAUACUGGUCCGUUACUGACGCUGAGGCUCGAAAGCGUGGGGAGCAAACAGGAUUAGAUACCCUGGUAGUCCACGCUGUAAACGAUGAGUGCUAGUUGUCGGCGAUGCAUGCAUGUCGGUUGGACGCGAGCUAACGACAUUAAGACGACGUCCGCCGUCGGGGAGGUACGGGUCGGCGAAGUAAGUUAAAACGUUAAAAGUUAAAGUAAGUUAGGUUACGUGNGAGNGCGACGACGACGACGACGGAGGAGGAG